GCGGGGAUGUGCGUCCAUACACAGCACGGAGGUGCUCCUGGAGAAACCCGUGUUUGCACGGAAUUUGUCUCGUGCUCACGGCUGGAGGUGGCAUUUCCCCCAGGUGUAGUGGCCCAGUGGGCCCCAAGUCCAUCCUCAGUUUUUGCAUACACCAGUGAGCACACCACUGGAUGAGUGCAAUACCUUGCUGUGACCACCUCCUUGUACAAUGUUCAGAUGAGUCAUUGCAACAGCCUAAAUCCCGCCAGUGCACAAAAGCAAAAGCAAA